rnacentral:rRNA from 1 species
GAGUUUGAUCUUGGCUCAGGAUGAACGCUGGCGGCGUGCUUAACACAUGCAAGUCGAGCGAAGCACUUUUGCGGAUUUCUUCGGAUUGAAGCAACUGUGACUGAGCGGCGGACGGGUGAGUAACGCGUGGGUAACCUGCCUCAUACAGGGGGAUAACAGUUGGAAACGGCUGCUAAUACCGCAUAAGCGCACAGUACCGCAUGGUACGGUGUGAAAAACUCCGGUGGUGUGAGAUGGACCCGCG